rnacentral:lncRNA from 1 species
UGACUAGCGUGGGUGCGCUAGGCUCAGUCCCCAGUACAGAAGGGAAAAGGUAGGAAGGGCAUGUAGUGUGCCUAGUCUGGUGGGUUAGUGAUGAACCAGAGGGAGAAGGCUGGCAGGGCAGGUCUUACAGUCAGCUUACAAGCUGGUGGCUCUUUGUCAGCAUGUUUAAAGCGGUUAUAUUUCCAGUGAAGUUGUUGGCCUUCAGAAAACCAUGAACUUACCUCUCAGAAUUCCUUUCAGCACCUGGCAGUGGCACAUGCCUUUAAUCCUGGCACUUAGGAGGCAAGGCAGGUUGGUCUAUGUGAGUUUGAGGCCAACCUGGUCUACAGAGUGAGUUCCAAGAUAGCUAGGGCUACACAGAGAAACCCUGUCUCAAAAAAAAAAAAAAAAACCCACAAAAAAAAACAGGAGACUUUUCAGAAAUCAAACUAAACUAACCAGCCAGCCAGAGCUUAAAUUUGUUGAAGGAGGUUCUUGAAGUCUGAAGGCAUUUUAGACAGGAGACUGAGAAGUACUGAAGAAUGGCCUAUACAGAGUUUAGAGCACUAGCCGUAGCGUACAAGACUGCGUUCAGUUCUCAGCACCAAGAAAUAAAGGUGUCAGUCAGAGUAGGAUUAUCAAGCUCUUGCUCCUGACCGAGCACUUGUCCCGACCAACACCAGUGCACAACACGUAGCUGCUGAGCCUUGUGGCUGAACCCUUCCUCUCCCCCAUCCUCUCCAUCACUGGCACUUGGUCUGCUUCUUGAAAGCCUGGACUUAAGUCCUACAGAUCCUUCUCUGUGUCAGCUUCUCUUUUGUCAGAGUGUCCUCUGUGCUUCUGGCUGCCUCCGUUCCCCUCGCAAGGCUCGUGGUCUUUCAUGUUUCUUUUGAUUUCUCCCUGGCUGGCCAAGCCUGCUCUCCUAGGAUUGUGUGGCCACCUUCACUUAGUUCUUUGGCUUCCAUGAACCCUAAGUCCAUGCCAGAGAUGGUGAUGCUGGCCCGGGCUAGCUCCAGCUCUUCUCACCACUCUGCCGUGCUGGGCUUGCUUACUCCAGUCCUUGGUUCUCUGAUGUAAAUUAUUUCCUUCAUGACCAUUCUAACUGCCUGUGUCACGUUAGUCUUUCUUUUCCCUGGGCCAAUAGCAAGUUUACUGUCCUCUGAGGCCUCUGUCCAGCUCUGGUGUCGCUUAUUGACACCCGACUUCCUUUUAUCCCGCCGCUAUUAAUGAGUGACAGCUGGUCUUAGUUCUGCUUCAACUUAACAUUAAAUUUUGGGUCUCUCUACUUUCUUCUCGGUUCCCUUCAGCUGGAGCUGCUAUUCUAACUUAGCACUUCCCCCAUGUGUGGUUUCACGCAGGGUGGCUCAGGCAGGUUCAUUUAUUAGAGAGCCUUACAGUGUGAGGGUCUUCACGGUGAUGUGUCUGAAGGUGUUGUUUGGGUAUCUUGUGUGUCUCUUCAGUGAAAAUAGAGGGAAUGAACCAGUAGUUCUCAUGCAACGUUGAUACACAUUCCACGCGAGUGUCAAGAUGACCGUGCUAAAUCUGGUGAGCCUGACACUCCUCCCUGUUCUCAAGGUGCAUCCCACUGUUAACAGCUGAUGGGGAAGGCAUCUCGGCUAUAUACGAACUUUCUCGAGUACCAGCCGUGUGACUGGUGGGUCCUGAGAGAUGAGACGCACAAAGACAUCUUAAAAAUACUAAAC